UAGGGAAUCUUCCACAAUGGGCGAAAGCCUGAUGGAGCAACGCCGCGUGUGUGAUGAAGGGUUUCGGCUCGUAAAACACUGUUGUAAGAGAAGAACGUUGGUGAGAGUGGAAAGCUCAUCAAGUGACGGUAACUACCCAGAAAGGGACGGCUAACUACGUGCCAG
rnacentral:rRNA from 1 species